UACGAAGGGGGCUAGCGUUGUCCGGAUUUACUGGGUUUAAAGGGUGUGUAGGCGGACUUUUAAGUCUGGGGUGAAAUCUCCGAGCUCAACUCGGAAACUGCCUUGGAUACUAUUAGUCUUGAAUUAUGUUGAGGUUGGCGGAAUAUAACAUGUAGCGGUGAAAUGCAUCGAUAUGUUAUAGAACACCGAUUGCGAAGGCAGCUAACUAAGCAUAUAUUGACGCUGAGGCACGAAAGCGUGGGGAUCAAACAGG
rnacentral:rRNA from 1 species